UUCGCAAUGCCCGAAAGGGUGACGAAGCGACGCCGCGUGUGGGAAGAAGGCCUUCGGGUUGUAAACCACUGUUGGGAGUUAGGAAGUGUGGAGGUGUUAAUGGCGCUUUCACUUGACUAAAGCUCCAGAGGAAGCCACGGCUAACUCUGUGCCAGCAGCCGCGGUAAUACAGAGGCGGCAAGCGUUGUUCGGAAUUAUUGGGCGUAAAGAGCACGUAGGCGGCUCUGCAAGUCAGCUGUGAAAGCCUUCUGCUUAACGGAAGAACGGCAGUUGAAACUACAGGGCUUGAGUGCGGGAGGGGAGAGUGGAACUUCUGGUGGAGCGGUGAAAUGCGUAGAUAUCAGAAGGAACGCCGGCGGCGAAAGCGGCUCUCUGGUCCGUAACUGACGCUGAGUGUGCGAAAGCUAGGGGAGCAAACGGGAUUAGAUACCCCGGUAGUCCUAGCCGUAAACGAUGGGCACUAAGUAGAGGGGUUUU
rnacentral:rRNA from 1 species